UUUAAUCUUAUGUUGUUUCUUGUUUACUAGAUCUAUCACAAGGUGACAUAAUCUGAUUGAUGGAAUGACAUUUCAGGAUUCAUUGAAAGGAAAUCAUCAAUGUUGCCUUGAACUUCUACAACUUAGCUGUUAUGGUUGGUUCUAUCGUUCGUUUCUAUAGCGUUGGAAACAAAUCUUCGACGACUAUGAUUUCUUUCAUUAAAUAUGGAAAAAUGGUAAGCAUGAACGAAAACAUAAUUUUAUCUUAAAGUAUAAUAAUUAUGAAAUUAAGACAUAAUAUUCUUCGUCUAC
rnacentral:lncRNA from 1 species